GCCAAAGUUGUAAAUAAUGCCCAGCUUCAUUUCAUUGUCUGAAUCCAAUUUCAUAGUAACAGAGGAACACAGGUAGUCAAUUAUAUUGCUACUCCAAAGGUCUGAGCAUUCAAAGCAGUCAGAAUAUGAUUAUUCCUGUCUUCUUAGCUUCAUCUGCAAGACAGCUCAUAUGUGAAAAAAAGGGGGAGGACCCCAGAAAUGUUAUAAGGCAGGAGGAUGCCUCGAAUGAGGGCUCACACAGCAUGUUUUGUAUAUGCUGAUGCAAUGAUUUUUCCAUUGGAUUUACAAAAGUAGCGUUGGGAGGAAAGUUGAGUGACUGCAGCCCCAUACAGGCUUUCCACGCACAAAUUGGGCAUCCGCCGACAGAAGACGUCUCGGCCUUUGGGGUCGAACCUACCAUUAUUUGGUGCUCGAACAGGGACCUGCUGCCGAAUCACAAGGAGCAUCUCAACUACAGUGCGGGACCACUACGGCUCGGGCCUCCGGAGACCCCAGAUUGAAAUCACCUGGCCAGAUUGACAUCACACCUGAAACACUCUUCCUGGUGAGGAUGCCGGCCCAUUACUCAGGGGACGGAGCAUAUUUAAGAAGACUUGGUUCCCUCAGACAACUCGCGGUCUGGGAUAGUACCUGAGGAAAGACCUGCUAUACACCUGACCUGGAGGAUCCAGUUCUUUCAGAUGAUGUCAAAGGGGGAAAUGAUGGAAUUGGGUAGAGGAGACAACAUGGAGUCUCUAUUACAUUUCAUAUUCUCGGUCUAAGUGACUGCAUUCUAUCUUUCUUGUUUUUUUCUACAUAACUAACUUCUGAACUUUUGAACUAAGAGACAAUGGGUACCUUAUCUUCAAGAAUGCAGACACUCUUAUCUUUUUUCUAUCCCAGAUGUGUCCUUGAAACAGUGGUUCAUUAUAUUUGAGCUUAAGCAAUGUAUAUUUUGUAUCUAACUUUCUUCUGCGAAAGAUUUAGGGUUUUCCUGUGUUUGUACAAUGUAGAGUUUACUGCGCAUGCCUAAUUGAAAGUGGGCUAUAUAAAAUACUCUUGAAAAGAGGGCUAGGCCAGUUCUGCCUUCAGCUUACAGAGACAACACUUGUGUUUGUAUCGUGAUUUUGAAUGGCAGGUAGCGUUGGGAGGAAAGUUGGAUGACUGCAGCCCCAUACAGGCUUUCCAUGCACAAAUUGGGCAUCCGCUGACAGAAGACGUCUCGGCCUUUGGGGUCGAACCUAACACUCAUGCUGCUAUACUCUCUUAGCUAAAUCAUGGACCAGCUCAGUGAGACCCUGCAGUUGCUCCACCAGAGCAGACAUAGCUUCCAUAUUGCUGGUGCAGAGCAGAUGCAGGAAGUGGGCUUGGGAAAAUGUCACGUAUGGGCAGAGAUUGAGUUCUCUCUUGCUCUCACCUAAAACCACUGUCCCUGCUUAUUGCAUAGUCGUCCUAGAUGAACAGGACCAUUUGAAGGAAUUUGGGGGCCGCAAGCAAAAUAGACAUGGAGUAGACCCCCACCCCCUCCCCACCUUACGCACGCAAAAAAUAUUAUAUAUACAGGACCAUAUAGAGAUUAUAUACCAGCUGUACACAGGAUAUAUACCCCAUAUAAGUGUUUACAGCUACAUGAAGGAAAUCACAGGUCACGUCUUUUCUGAUCAGCGUCGUCCUCUUUCCUUUUCUUCCCCGUCCGGCUGAGACUGCCAUGAUGUCUUCUUCCAGCCAAAACUUCA